rnacentral:rRNA from 1 species
CAGUAGCCGCGGUAAAACGUAGGUGGCAAGCGUUGUCCGGAAUUAUUGGGCGUAAAGGGCUCGCAGGCGGUUUCUUAAGUCUGAUGUGAAAGCCCCCGGCUCAACCGGGGAGGGUCAUUGGAAACUGGAGACUUAGAGUGCAGAAGAGGAGAGUGGAAUUCCAUGUGUAGCGGUGAAAUGCGUAGAUAUAUGGAGGAACACCAGUGGCGAAGGCGACUCUCUGGUCUGUAACUGACGCUGAGGCGCGAAAGCGUGGGGAGCAAACAGGAUUAGAUACCCCCGUAGUCCCUGUCUCUUAUAC